AGUUUUUUCUGCAAGCCUAGGACACAGGGUUAUGGUCCUCCAUGGAUGGCCUUCAAAAUUACAUUUGUGAAUUGGGUAUGAGAGAGGCAAUCUAUGAAGAUACAUUUGACAGCCCAGCUAAGCCUCUAGGAUCACCUGAAGGAAAUAAAUGCCAUCAAAGCAUUCCGGUGUUGCUGUGAGAUGAUGUGCGACAUUUGGUGAUGGGCUACAUGGGACUGAUGGAGCAUAGGAUGGACCUCCACCUCACUACCACAUGCCUCCAGUAACAUCAAGCAGUGGUCCGUGAAAGAACAUGAACUUUCACCAAUAUCACUCAUCUUAAAUUGUGUCGACAUACUUCGCGACAGGGAACUGUAUAAGCAUUGUGAUGUGUCAGAUCUAUGUAUUAGGGAAGACUUACCCUCUAG
ensembl:lncRNA